rnacentral:rRNA from 1 species
GCUGAGGGUAGCCCUACUUCGCCUCGAUUU